rnacentral:rRNA from 1 species
UUGUUCGGAAUCACUGGGCGUAAAGCGUGCGUAGGCUGUUUCGUAAGUCGUGUGUGAAAGGCAGGGGCUCAACCCCUGGAUUGCACAUGAUACUGCGAGACUAGAGUAAUGGAGGGGGAACCGGAAUUCUCGGUGUAGCAGUGAAAUGCGUAGAUAUCGAGAGGAACACUCGUGGCGAGGGCGGGUUCCUGGACAUUAACUGACGCUGAGGCACGAAGGCCAGGGGAGCGAAAGGGAUUAGAUACCCCUGUAGUCCUGGCAGUAAACGGUGCACGCUUGGUGUGCGGGGAAUCGACCCCCUGCGUGCCGGAGCUAACGCGUUAAGCGUGCCGCCCGGGGAGUACGGUCGCAAGAUUAAAACUCAAAGAAAUUGACGGGGACCCGCACAAGCGGUGGAGUAUGUGGCUUAA